AAAGGAUUAGUUAAUCAAAUAACAUCAGAAUGUCAAACUGAAAUAAUCAUGUAAAGAUAUCCUUUU
rnacentral:tRNA from 1 species